AUGAUUACGGCUAUCAAAGCUCAACGAGAAGAUUGGCUAGAGCACCGAUCUGGACACUCAAACGUUGCAGCUGACAGGAGCUCAUGGACACAGUUAUGGAAGGUGAAAGUGCCAUCCAAAAUUCGUGUUUUCGUGUGGCGACUCGCUCACACUUCGCUUCCCACGGGUCUGGUCCGGCACCAGAGGAAGAUGGCAGACAAUCCUAUCUGCUCUAUAUGCAAUGCAGCGGAGGACUCAUGGAGGCAUUCACUUUUAAGCUGUACAAUGGCCAGGUGCGUGUGGGCGCUGGGAGACGAUGAGUUGCUCGAGCAUGUGAUAUCGAACCAAAAUGAGGAUGCCAGGCUCUGGCUUUUCUGGCUCUUAGAGACCACAAACCAACAUGACCUUGCUCGUGUUCUGGUGACCAUGUGGGCGAUAUGGUGGGCUCGGAGAAAGGCUAUCCAUGACAAUGAAUUUCAGAGUCCGUUAUCAACGCUUUGCUUCAUCAAGAGAUAUUUAGAUGUCAGGACAUCAAGACCAUUUUUAGGGAGGGCGGAUCGGCCCCGUGCUAAAGCGUGGUUACCACCUACGGGAGAGGCGGCAAAACUAAAUUGUGACGGAGCUCUUUCCACCUUGGGAGAAAGGGGAGCUGCUGCAGCGGUAUGUAGGGACAAGGCAGGAAUCUAUCUGGGAGCAUCAGCAGUGGUUUAUGAUGGCAUGAUUGACCCAGCGAGCCUGGAGGCGCUAGCUUGUAGCGAAGCCCUCACCCUUGCUCGGGAUUUAAACUUGCAAGACUUGGAGAUAGCCUCAAACUGUCAGGAGGUGAUAUCGCACAUCAGAGAUGGAUGGGCGCCGAUCUAUGCUCCUAUCCUUAGGGAAAUUCAAUUUAGUAGGAAUGAUUUUACUUCUGUUACUUUCCGUUUUGAAUAUAGGGAGAAUAAUUUUGAGGCUCACUCGCUAGCUAAAGGAGCUGCGUCUCUUGCGGUGGGUGUUGGAAAUAUGCCUUAG
rnacentral:rRNA from 1 species